UAAGGAAUAUUGGACAAUGGACGAAAGUCUGAUCCAGCCAUGCCGCGUGCAGGAUGAAAGCCCUAUGGGUUGUAAACUGCUUUUAUACAGGAAGAAAAACUCCGACGUGUCGGAGCUUGACGGUACUGUAAGAAUAAGGAUCGGCUAACUCCGUGCCAGCAGCCGCGGUAAUACGGAGGAUCCAAGCGUUAUCCGGAAUCAUUGGGUUUAAAGGGUCCGCAGGCGGUCUUUUAAGUCAGAGGUGAAAGCCUACAGCUCAACUGUAGAACGGCCUUUGAUACUGAAAGACUUGAGUUAUUGUGAAGUGGUUAGAAUGUGUGGUGUAGCGGUGAAAUGCAUAGAUAUCACACAGAAUACCAAUUGCGAAGGCAGAUCACUAACAAUAUACUGACGCUCAUGGACGAAAGCGUGGGGAGCGAACAGGAUUAGAUACCCUGGUAGUCCACGCCGUAAACGAUGGAUACUAGCUGUUCGUCUAACAUUGGUUAGAUGAGUGGCUAAGCGAAAGUGAUAAGUAUCCCACCUGGGGAGUACGGUCGCAAGACUG
rnacentral:rRNA from 1 species